rnacentral:lncRNA from 1 species
GUUCUAGUGUUUUUCUUCCUCCCUAAGGUCAAACAAUUUAUUAAGGAUAUCAUCCAAGGACCUGCCCCGAGACAAAGUAGUUGUGGGUGGCAAGGUGUGUGGGGGGAUAUGGGCAGGUACCUGUAACGGUUGUCUCCUCCAACGGUUUUUCACUUCACCCCUGAACAACUGCGAAAUCCAAAAAAAAUGGUAGAAUGUUUGAGAGACGUAUGCCCUGACCCUGGCAAUACUCCACCAGAACUCCACCAGCUUGCUGCACUCUGCUGGGGUCUGGCUUACGCCUAUCAAAUGGUAAUUAACACUGCCCAGCACCCUCAAGGGGAUGGGGAAGUUUCUGAAUUCGAUGACGAGACAACGCACACUGUGACCACCCCAGAGGACCAACCAUCUAUGGUAUCAGUCGCCCCUAUAGUCAAGACAAAACAAUGGAAACAGAAGUCAGCUCGUUUAGUAGGGGAAGAAGCUCCUCCUAAGGAGGAGGGAGAAGAGGAAAAGGCAGGCAGCUCUAAAGCAGCGUCAUCACAACAACAUCAGGGAGAAGAGACGGAAAUCAUAAAUGAAUCAGAAACCACCCAAUCCCUAUCCUUGAUUGAGUUGCGAGAAAUACGAAAGGAUUUCAGUCUUCAUCCAGGUGAGCACCUCCUCACCUGGCUGCUUCGAUGUUGGGACACUGGGGCCAGUAGCCAGGAACUAGAGGGCAAUGAAGCCAAGCAGCUGGGAUCCCUCUCUAGAGAAAGGCUCAUAGACAGAGUAAUUGGGAGAGAGGCACAGGUUCUCAGCCUCUGGAGGCGACUCCUGGCAGCUGUGAAAGAAAGGUAUCCCCACAAGGAAGAUAUUGUAUAUCAAUUAUGCAAGUGGACCACCAUGGAGAAAGGUCUCCAGCACCUGCGGGAAUUAGCUGUGCUGGAGAUGAUUUAUAGUAAUUUGAACCAUGAACAGACACCUAAAGACCCUGAUGAAGUCCAGUGCACAGCAUCCAUGUGGCAGAAGUUGAUACGGGCUGCACUCCUA